UUGCAUGGCGAGGCGUAUCAUGCUAGUCGAACGGGAGCGAUGGAAGCUUGCUUCUACGGUCGAACUUGGCCAGCUCGUGAGUGACGCGUACUCAACCUGCCCUUCGCACGGGGACGGAAAAUGUAAGAAACUGCUAAUCCCGCUUACCUCCUGACCUCAGACUCGAGGAUAUUUGAAAGGUGGCCUCUAUUUAUAAGCUGGGUGUGAGGGAUGGGAUUGCCUCUGAGAGGUUAACUGGAGGGGAAGCGGCCCACCAAGGCGAUGAUCUAAGGCCGGUCUGAGAGGAUGAACGGCCACAUUGGGACUGACACCCGGCCCAAACUCCUACGGGAGGCAUCUGUGGGGAAUCUUCCGCAAUGGACGAAAGUCUGACGGAGCAACACCACGUGAGUGAUGACAGUCUUCUGGUUGUAAAGCUCUAUUAAGCGAGACAAAUGGUUCUUGUGCGAAUAAUGCUAAGAUUUGACAGUACCAGAAUAUAAAGCCACGGCUAACUACAUGCCAGCAGCCACGGUAAUACGUAGGUGGCAAGCGUUGUCCGGAAUUAUAGGGCGUAAAGCGCGCGCAGUGAGAUUGGUCAGUCUGUCUUAAAAGCUCGGGGCUUAACCCCGUGAUGGGAUGGAAACUGACAAUCUAGAGUAUCGGAGAGGAAAGUGGAAUUCCGAGUGUAUCUGAGAAAUGCGUAAAUAUGAGGGAGAACACCAGUGGAGAGCGUGACUUUCUGGAUCAAAACUGAGGCUGACGCGCAAAAGCCGAGAGAGCGACCGGGCUUACACACCCCGGUAGUCCUGGCCGUAGGUGAUGGGUGCUAUCUGUGGGAGGUAUCGACCCCUUCUGUGCCCGAGUUGGCGCAAUACGUACCCCGGCUUGAAGAGUAAGAGCUCUGGGGUGAAUCUCGAAUGGAUUUGACGGGUGC
rnacentral:rRNA from 1 species